ensembl:lncRNA
GUCUGAGCAUAAAUGGAUCAUUUGUGGAAACAGAACACAUAACAGGAGAUUUGGAGGAAGGAGUGGAGCUUGCUGCUUGUACUGAUGGGCAACAGAUGGCUACAUUUGAUGUCUAUCUCAAUGUGAACGGUGCAAGGCAAGAAAACACAGGACAACUGAUUCUAACUGCUGUCAAUGAAAGCUUGGGCUUGGUGGCUCAUGGGUGUGGGGAUCCUAUAGUUAAAAUGCAGUACAAAGUUAAUAAAAUUGGGUCCCAUCUAAAGGCCAAACUCCUAGAGAAGAUCAAGAAGUUUGAUGAAUAUAUCUGGAGAUUCAGGAGAUCAGUGCAGCAAAUUGAUUUCCUGUAUGAAGCAGCUGGCUGGCCUCUGAAAGCCUCUCAGGAGGUAGCAGGAAUCUUCCAAAAUGUGGGGAGAGCUGUUGCCCAGAUGUGGAAGCAGAGUGGAAUCAGGCAAACACUAAGAAGCAACCUCCCGCUUUACCUGGAAAAAAUUCAAGAAAUUGUACAGCAAAUGCAAAAUGAACUGCAAAAACCAUUAGCAACUCUGAAGGAUGCCUACUAUGAUGUGACUUUGAAGCCACUAGAUGAAGUUUGGCAAGAAAAAACAGAGCAGUAUAUGAAGAAAAUCCAGGCUUUUGUGCCCAGUAUUGUAAAAGAUGUUUGGCUUAUGGAACCAAUCCAGGUGGCACUCAGAGCUCUGAAAACAAGCCUGGAUAUGGCAACCCAUCAGAUGCUAAGGUGGGCAGAAGCAAAGUUGUCCCAAGGUGUAAGCAAGAUCCGGAAGCCCUUAUCAAGCCUGUACAGCUUUUCAGCCAGGAAUUGUUCAGUGGCAGUGAACUUGCCAGUUCUACCCAAAGGAGAACACUCUAUGGAUUUGGCAAAUAUUACUAACUACCUCAUUGAAGAAAAGCUAAUGAGGCCCCUCAGAGACUUCUAUAACAUCAACCCCAUAGCAGAAUACUACAGAUUCAAACGGAGGAUGAUGGAGAGUCCAUUUGAAUAUCAUGCUGUGUUGAUGGGGAACAAACAUGUUAUGACUUUUGAUGGAAGAAUUUAUGAUCUGGCAUCAAAGUGUAGUGUGCUUCUUGCCAAGGAUUUUGUUCACAGCACCUUCACUGUAGUGCUGAACCAGGAGACCAGUGGCUCAAGAUCACUCUAUGUGGAGAUGAACCAGACAGUGUUUGAUCUGUACCCAGGACUGAAGAUGUACAAGGUGUACAAUCGUUCCCUGGCAGAAGAGAGUUGCCAAAGUCUUGAUUUUGAUCUGUCUCUUGAAAAAAAUGGCCUAAUUGCAAGAAAAGAAGCUAAUAAAAUAGAAGUGUCCAGUCAGAGUGGAGUUUCUGUCUCCUGUGACUUUCACCAUGGCCUCUGUACCAUUACAUUGAGUGGAUGGCAUCAUGGUGUAUCAGCUGGUCUUUUUGGCACUAAUGACAAUGAAGCUGGAAAUGAAUGGAUGCUUUCUAACCACUCCCACUCCAGCAGCAUGCAGGAAUUUAUACGGAGCUGGCAGGUGACCAGUCAGUGCAGCCAUGUACAGAAGAAAGUGAAGGCAUGUCCCAUCACAGCAAAGCAAAAAUUUUGUAAAAUGUUUUUUCAAGAAGCCCGCUCUCUUCUCAGGAACUGUUUCAAAGUUGUGGACCCAGAACCAUUCUAUGCCAUGUGUUCACAAGACUCUUGUGGAUCCAGUGAGUUGAAAGCUGCUUGCAACUUGGCAGCAGCAUUUGUCCACUUGUGCAACAGAAAUUUUGUUCCCUUGGACAUUCCUCCUCAGUGUGUUUGAUUGCUCCGAAUGGUAACUGCCAGUCCUGAUGAUGGAAAAGCUUUUUCAGUAUUGAAAUAAUUCAACUUUCUGAUUAGACCUGCUAGAAGCAACAGCAUGGAAAGCAGCAAGCUUCAGCUAAAGCAAUGAUUUAUAACUCAGACUAUCAUGAAAUGUGUUGUGUAAAAGAAAAGCUUUUUGGGCUAAUUAGCCUGAAAAAAAGUUUAAUUAUUACAAUUAAUGUUAUUAUGUUGAAAUCACAUCAGAGUAAUGUGGUCAUAAGAAAAUGUAUGCUAGAGUAACAUUUUUAAAACCCCGUUCACUGGAAAAAUUCUAAUCUAUUCCCAAUUGAAGAUGCUCAAUUCAAGGUACGAGCCAUUAUUUGAAUAAUUAAAACAAUCAAGUUGCCUCUCCUACCCCAAGUCGGCAGAAUCUUCCUCUGUUGAAACAGCACAUACAGCUUUGAGUUGACACAGAGGCAUAUAUACUGUUUGUUUAGAGCUCAAACUCAGUCAUUUGCUGGGUUCUGAAAGAAAUCACAUCCAAUCCAUUAUGUUAGAGGUUAGGGACAGACAUUACGCAUAAACCAGCUUAAGUGAUCAGAAAGUGGUUUAAACCUGUAACAGAACAGGUGUUCAGUGCACGUAAACCAGUUUCAAAAUGGCUGAAAUCGGUUUGAGAUAAUCUUGGUUGAAUGUAGUAUCAGACUUAACUGAUUUGGGUCAAACUGGUUUAUGCAGUGUCUGUCCCAGACCCCUUCCUGUUUUAAAUUAAACAAGUGUCCCCCAGCAGUCCAGAUGCUUCACUGGGCAGGGCUCUGCUCUCUGCUGGCUAUGGUCUGUGCUGUGGGAGGCAUGACAAGGGCAGACAGCACAGUGUCGGCUUAGGGCUUUUUGGGGUUAAUCAACAGAUAACUGGUAAUGUCCCUACUUUCCUUCCUUGGAAAAAGUUGUUUAAGAAGAGCUUGAACUAAUGAGAAAAACUUUUGUUUUGUUUGACAGACUGAUAAAUGCUCGUAACU